AGAGGCCUUUUAAAUAAACCGAUUAUAUAAUGAUGUAAAGUACAUGCCAUUUCAAAGAACAGGCUAUGGCAUCAGAGAGAAUUUAGCAAGCCGAAGAGUUUUCACUUUUCAGAUUUGAAUGUAACCUAGCCGGAACACGAUAUUAACUGGCAGGUUAUGCAGAGAAUGGGAGUGCCUCAAACCUUUUCAAAGCUGGACUACAGGAGAGAUUGACAGGAAAAUGUCUUCAGAGCAAACGCACGCCAGAUGGAAUGAAAACGGUUUAUUGUAGUAUGGAGAUGCUACUGAACCGAAUAGAGGGCGGGUUUAAGUAACCAAGAUUACUGUAUUUGACACUGACACCCCAAUGUGACAGCAGAAGUCUACUUUUGGUUUAUAAGC
rnacentral:lncRNA from 1 species